GCUUAACACAUGCAAGUCGAGCGAGAAUCGUUUAUUGAAGGCUUCGGCUGGAAAUAGAUGAGGAAAGCGGCGAACGGGUGAGUAACGCGUGGGCAACCUGGCCUUAAGAAAAGGAUAGCCCCAGGAAACGGGGAGUAAUACUUUAUGAGAAUAGAAAAGGGCAUCCUAUUUCUAUUCAAAGCGCAAGCGCUUAAGGAUGGGCCCGCGUAUCAUUAGCUAGUUGGUGAGAUAACAGCCCACCAAGGCAACGAUGAUUAGCCGGUCUGAGAGGGCGAACGGCCACAUUGGAACUGAGAGACGGUCCAAACUCCUACGGGAGGCAGCAGUGGGGAAUAUUGCGCAAUGGAGAAGAACUCUGACGCAGCAAUACCGCGUGAGCGAAGAAGGUCUUCGGAUCGUAAAGCUCUGUUAUCAGGGAAGAAGAAAAUGACGGUACCUGAUGAGCAAGUCCCGGCUAACUACGUGCCAGCCGCCGCCGUAA
rnacentral:rRNA from 1 species